rnacentral:lncRNA from 1 species
CCCUCGUCCCUCCUGACCACGGGUGCUCCAAACUGGCACCGCUUCCCCCUGGGUGCUUGACGUGGCUUCCCCGAGGCCCAUCCCAGCGUGGCCUGGCGCCCACUGCUGUCCUGGGCUAUAAAAACCUGUAUGCUGGGGUCUCCGGUGCUGCCCGCCCCCAGCACUGCCCACCAGGCUGGCCGACCUCACUGCUCUACUGAAAUGGCACCAACCAGCCUUGCCCUGGCAGCAACCUCUGCCUCAUUCUGCUCCAGCAGGCACCAGCCAACCACUUUCCAGAGAACCUCGGACCCUCAGACGUGUGCUCCCGCCCUGGUCUUGAAUCCCCAAGGCUGUCACAAAGGUAGAUUCCCGGGUACCCUUCUCUCUGGGGUCUCUGAGGACAGGGAUCCUACGACUUCCUAACUCAGACUCCAAACCAGAAAUCACAUGAUCCAGGUCCCAAUCCCUUCACUUUUCACUUCCAGUGGGUCCCACCAGGGCAGAGGUCUGUCACGACAAGUCACCUCCCCCGACUCUACUCCCAGCCUCCCACCAAACCAGGAAAGAGGAGACCCAUGCCAGGCCCACCCUGCCCACUGCCCCAAGGAGAGGCAGAAGAACUGGCCUCCCCCAACAUUUCAGAACAUCGCCAGAUGAUCUGGGCAGGGUAUUAGCAUUUGAACAGUCAUUUCCCACUUUUAUAGCAUUCCUAGGAGUACCAACAAAAGAAGGGAUGAGAAAAUCUGAAGCCAUCUGACUCUCUUUCAAUAUUCAUAUGCACCUAUGAAUGAAUGAAUGAAUGAAUGAACGAAUG